rnacentral:sRNA from 1 species
GUAAAAAAUGGAGUAUCUGCAAAGUACAAUAAAAAUAUGAGGUAUGCCUGUACCUGUAAAAAGUUGAGGAAAAGCAGAAUGGUGGUUUGUAACUGUCACAUACAAAGCGUUAAUUUAGAAGAAGGCAUUGGCCAGAAAUCAUAAAAGCAAAAAUCAUAAAUAGGCCUUUAGAUUUUACUCUUGCUGUUUAAAUAAAAUCGUUUUGGAAAGUAUUUUUCCAGUAUUGUUUCCUUAAGAUCACUUUACAUACACAGACAAUCCUUGACUUACUAUGGUUCCAACUUCGACAGUUUUUUUACUUUACAGUGGUGGGAAAGUAAUACACAUUCAAUAGAAACCAUACUUUGAAUUUUGAAUUUUAAUCUUUUCCGGAGCUUGGCAAUAUGUGGUAUGUUACUCUUGAUGCUGGGCAGCAACAGUGAGCCACAGCUCCUGGUCAGCCAUGUGAUCACAGGGUAAACAACCACUCUACAGUGUACUGUACUGCUAGAUGAUUUUGCCCAGCUGUAGGCUAAUGCAAGUGUUGUGAGCAUAUUUAAGGUCGGCUAGGCCAAGCUAUGGUAUUUGGUAGGUUCAGUGUAUUAAAUGCUUUCUCAACUUAAGAUAUUUUCAAUUUUUGAUGGUUUUAUUAGGAUAUAACUUCAUCAGAAAUCAAGGAACAUCUAUACUUAAACUGCUUGUAAAACUACUGUAGAGGCCGGGCGCAGUGGCUCACGUCUAUAAUCCCUGCACUUUGGGAGGCCGAGGCAGGCAGAUCACCUGAGGUCAGGAGUUUAAGACCAGCUUGACCAACAUGGAGAAACCCCAUCUCUACUAAAAAUACAAAAUUAGCCAGGCAUGGUAGUGCAUGUCUGUAAUCCCAGUUACUCGGGAGGCUGAGGCAGGAGAAUCGCUUGAACCUGGGAGGUGGAGGUUGCGGUGAGCUGAGAUCGAGCCAUUGCACUCCAGCCUGGGCAACAAGAGCGAAACUCAGUCUCAAAAAAAAAAAAACCAAGAAAAACUACUGUAGAACUGCUUGAGUUUGGGGGCAUUAUUUUCUUUGGUAAACCCAGCUGCUUUUUGUAGUUGUGUGGUGCUUUGAUUGACUAACAUGCUAAAAAUGCUGCCAGUUUCCUUGUUAAACAUGUUAAAUGUCAUAUUCAUCAUAGAGUAAGAAUACAAAAUUGGAGUGACCUAUUAAAAUAUUGCUUUGUAUGUGUCCUACUUGAAAAAAUACUCUGAAUUUAUCUACAAAUGCGCUACAGGUGGGCUUUUUACAAAAUGCCUUUAUGUACAAACUUUUGGGAAUAUGGCUUUAAAUGGAAGAUUAUAUGGAAAACAUCUUCGUAAACCAUAAAGCAAUUAUCUACAAGUAUAGAGGCUGUAUUAAAAAGCAAUGUAUUUGACUUCUACGAGCACCUACUAGUAAAUCACUUUUUAGGUGUUUAACCAUCAGAAAUCUUAAAAUCAUGGCACAUGCAAACUUAAAUUUACAAAUUAAAAAACAUUAGUGAGAAGUAUAAUUUUUAGCAAAAGAAUUCAUAAGCUCAUUGAUCUCCCCCAAGCCAGCUCCAGCUGCUGCACAGGUGAAACAGCAGUGAUUUAAUUUUGUUUCAACCCAGAAAACUUACGGCCUGCCCAUGGUCAUAGUGGGUUUUAUACUGAGUAAGAAGGAAUGCUAGUAUGCCAAGGAUUUGCUUCCCAGAGUAGUAAGACAGUAGUUGUUGUAAAGGCUUCAGGGUGUAAGAAAAUUAAAUUUUAGGCCAGAUGUAGUGGCUCAUGCCCAUAAUCCCAGCACUUUGAGAGGCCAAGGCAGGUGGAUCACUUGAUGUCAGGAGUUCAAGACCGGCCUGGCCAACAUGGUGAAACCCCAUCUCUACUAAAAAUACAAAAAAAAUUAGCCAGGCGUGGUGGCACACGCCUGUAGUCCCAACUACUUGGGAGGCUGAGACAGGAGAAUCACUCGAACCUGGGAGGCAGAGGUUGCAGUGAGCUGAGAUUGCACCACUAUACUCCAGCCUGGGCCACAGAAUGAGACUGUCUGAAAAAAAAAGAAAAUGAAAAUUUAGUCUCAGUCUUCAGGCAUUUUGUAUCUUAUAUUCUCCAAAUGUCAGCUUGUCUGUGUAAUUUAUAAGUAACGUAGGCUGAAAGGUAAUAGGUUGUGAUAGGCUACAAGCAAGAAAACAUUGGGACUGGGCACGGUGGCUCACGCCUGUAAUCCCAGCACUUUGGGGACACCAAGGUGGGCAGAUCACCUGAGGUCAGGAGUUUGAGAACAGCCUGGCCAACAUGGUGAAACCCCAUCUCUACUAAAAAUACAAAAAUUAGCUGGGUGUGGUGGUGUGUGCCUGUAGUCCCAGUUACUUGGGAGGCAGAGGUGAGAAUCUCAUGAACCUCAGAGGCAGAAGUUGCAGUGAGCCAAGAUCAUGCCAUUGUACUCCAGCCUGGGCGACAGAGCAACACUGUCUCAAAAAAAAAGAAAAAAAAAAAGAAGAAGAAAACAUUGGAAUAUGAUCAGAAAAGGUCUGGUUGUGUCAAGAUCAGACCUUUUUAAUGGAGAACCAUUGAUAUUCCACAUAGAUAUGCAGUUCUGUGUAUUUUGUCACUUGAAAUAUUGAAAGGAUUCUGGUUGUCUGUCACUUUGUCUGGCUUGUAUAAGCUCAGUUUCCCAUUCUCUUUUGUGUUCUUUGCAUUCUUGGCACAGUUCAGCGGACCAGGAGAGGAGAAAUUGAAACAUGCUGCUGCUACCUUUUGCAGUAACCAACCUUUCGCCCUGGAAAUGAUCAAGUCUCGUCAGAAAAAGGAUUCUCGAUUUCAGACUUUUGUGCAAGAUGCUGAAAGUAAUCCACUGUGUCGUCGUCUUCAACUGAAGGAUAUUAUUCCCACUCAAAUGCAAAGGCUUACUAAGUACCCACUUCUGUUGGAUAAUAUUGCCAAAUACACAGAAUGGCCAACAGAAAGGGAGAAGGUGAAGAAAGCUGCAGAUCACUGUCGUCAGAUCUUAAAUUAUGUAAAUCAGGCCGUCAAGGAGGCAGAAAACAAGCAGCGCCUAGAAGAUUAUCAGCGUCGCCUUGAUACCUCCAGCCUGAAGUUGUCAGAGUACCCAAAUGUUGAAGAGCUCAGG